AGAAAAAAUAAAUUUACUUUUAAUUAUAAAUCAAAUUUAUAACAAAUUAUAAGAUUUAUUCAAACAUUUUUUGGUGAUAAGCAAAAUACUAUUAAUAAUAGUAGAUUUUUUAAAAUAAUUUUUUAGCUUAUUUUUCACUCUUUUCACUUACACUAUUUAUUUCUACCUGAGUACUAAUUAUAUAGAAAGAAAAAAAGUAGUUUAUUUCCA
rnacentral:lncRNA from 1 species